rnacentral:rRNA from 1 species
UACGUAGGGGGCUAGCGUUGUCCGGAAUCAUUGGGCGUAAAGCGCGUGUAGGCGGCCCGGUAAGUCCGCUGUGAAAGUCGGGGGCUCAACCCUCGGAUGCCGGUGGAUACUGUCGGGCUUGAGUCCGGGAGGGGCGAGUGGAAUUCCUGGUGUAGCGGUGAAAUGCGCAGAUAUCAGGAGGAACACCAAUGGCGAAGGCAGGCUCGCUGGAACGGUACUGACGCUGAGGCGCGAAAGCGUGGGGAGCAAACAGG